rnacentral:hammerhead_ribozyme from 1 species
AUCCAGCUAACGAGUCCAAAAUAGGACGAAACUUGCGUUCUGAAU